AUGAUAACAAGGGGAGAGACCGUUUACGGCGCCGAAGGAGCAAACAUGAUUUCAUGUGAAUCUCUCAGGCAAAAAGACUCUUGUUGGACG
rnacentral:ncRNA from 2 species